AUUUGUAAAUAUCCAUUUUUAUAGUCAUUUUGAUUUGUUCAUUUUCAGUUAAUCAACUAUAAAUUGUAUUUCAAAGGUAUUUCUCAGUCUUUAAACUUCCCCCUGAAGUUGAAUUGAAAGUAAUUUGGUGAAACAAAUGGCCAAUGGACAUGAACUAAAGCUAAAAAGAUGUCAACUAAACUACAACCAGUGUUUCAGUGUUUCAACCUUUACUUGAAUCAAUUAAUCAAUUCUAUUGAUUGAUCUAACAUCAACCAAUCUGAUAACAAUUACAACUAAAAUGUUUAUAUUCAUCAAUGGCAAGUCUAUUUACAUUUUUCUGCAACCAACCUUAUUAUUUAUUCAAAUCAGAAUCAAUGCUUGAUAAUAUGAAUAUUAAACUUUUCAACAAUCAAGGAAAAUACAAUCAACUCAAAGGGAGUUAAAACUCCUCUCAACAAAAGAGCAUGCAACAAGUGAAUUGAAUCAGAAGAUGGUAAAGUAAAAAAGGUUCAUCUUCAAUGAGCAAUCUGUAAAGCAUUGACUCAAAAAAGGGAAAAAAAGUCAACAGGAAAAUCUGGUAAAGUCAAUGGAUAGGCCCAGGAUAGUUGCCAGUUUGUAGUCAACAAAAUCAUCAAAAAAGAUUCUCUAAUAAUAUUACAUGAAAAACGUUUUUUUACAACCCCAACAUCAAUUCUGUUCAAAUUGUCGAAGCAUAACUUCAACCAUCCUGGAACCGGGGCUUUGAUGUUCAAGCCUGAGUACCUAUGAGAAAGAGAAAGAAGGAGAAAGAGAAGAUGAUCUUCCCAAAGAUGCUUAGGGGAAGAGGAGAGAGAGAAAGACUUGAUUUGGAAAGGCAAGAAUAAGAUGAAUAAAAAAGUUAGAGUUGGAUGAUUUAAAGAUAGAGAAGGCCAAUAAACAAAGGUAAAGGUGAGAGAGUGAGUCAAGAUGAUUUAAAGAAGAAAGUUGAGAAUAAUGAAAAAGUGAAAGUUGACUGAUUAAAGUAAGAAGAAGAUGAUGAGGAUGAAAUUUUCUGACUUCUCUGAAAGAGUGAAAGACAGUUUUCAGUGUCUCCCAGCUUCCACCCCACCAUCACUACUUGUACCAUCAUCAUUAUCAUCCCAUUCACCAUACUUGUUAUUUCAUGCUCUUUUGCACAUAAAGCUUGUUUUUUGUGUCUGAAAGUAAAGAGGAACCCCAAAAAAGAGAGAGAGAGAAAAUUAGAAAUCAAAAAAUUGUUAAGUAAAGACAUUCCACUCUCUCAAUCUCUCUCUCAUAUCUUCACCAUCAUCUCUCUUCCAUAUCCUCCUCUUACCUCUCUCAUCAUCAUGAUGCGUGUGUACAAAUAUUACAUAAAAAGACAUCGUUAACAAUUUCACUUUCAUAUUCAAUUUCAUCCAAUAUCAACCUGUUGCUUUCACUAACAUUAUCAUUACCAUUAUUAUCAUCAUCUAUUAUCAUCAUCCUUUAAUAUCAUCCUCUAAUCAUCAACCUUCAUUAUCAACCUUAACUAUUAACCUUUGCUAACAACCUUCAACCUAUAACCAUUAUGAUAACCAAUUUUAAACUUUUUUUUAUUAUACAUUAUUAUGAUUAUUAUUAAAUCAUGCUCAAAAUGGUUUACAAUCAA